rnacentral:sRNA from 1 species
GAGAACGAGGAGGAAGGAGAGAAAAUGGCGUCCACGGAUUACAGUACCUAUAGCCAAGCUGCAGCGCAGCAGGGCUACAGUGCUUACACCGCCCAGCCCACUCAAGGAUAUGCACAGACCACCCAGGCGUAUGGGCAACAAAGCUAUGGAACCUAUGGACAGCCCACCGAUGUCAGCUAUACCCAGGCUCAGACCACUGCAACCUAUGGGCAGACCGCCUAUGCAACUUCUUAUGGACAGCCUCCCACUGGUUAUACUACUCCAACUGCCCCCCAGGCAUACAGCCAGCCUGUCCAGGGGUAUGGCACUGGUGCUUAUGAUACCACCACUGCUACAGUCACCACCACCCAGGCCUCCUAUGCAGCUCAGUCUGCAUAUGGCACUCAGCCUGCUUAUCCAGCCUAUGGGCAGCAGCCAGCAGCCACUGCACCUACAAGACCGCAGGAUGGAAACAAGCCCACUGAGACUAGUCAACCUCAAUCUAGCACGGGGGGUUACAACCAGCCCAGCCUAGGAUAUGGACAGAGUAACUACAGUUAUCCCCAGGUACCUGGAAGCUACCCCAUGCAGCCAGUCACUGCACCUCCAUCCUACCCUCCUACCAGCUAUUCCUCCACACAGCCGACUAGUUAUGAUCAGAGCAGUUACUCUCAGCAGAACACCUAUGGGCAACCGAGCAGCUAUGGACAGCAGAGUAGCUAUGGUCAACAAAGCAGCUAUGGGCAGCAGCCUCCCACUAGUUACCCACCCCAAACUGGAUCCUACAGCCAAGCUCCAAGUCAAUAUAGCCAACAGAGCAGCAGCUACGGGCAGCAGAGUUCAUUCCGACAGGACCACCCCAGUAGCAUGGGUGUUUAUGGGCAGGAGUCUGGAGGAUUUUCCGGACCAGGAGAGAACCGGAGCAUGAGUGGCCCUGAUAACCGGGGCAGGGGAAGAGGGGGAUUUGAUCGUGGAGGCAUGAGCAGAGGUGGGCGGGGAGGAGGACGCGGUGGAAUGGGGUAAGAGCAAACCUUUUCUCCUUUUACCUAAUUUUGUUUCAUCCAUAGGAUUUUCAAUGGAAAGAAGGGACUGAAAGACAUAAGAAAUUAAUUUCUGCAUUUCCAUGGACAAUCUGUUGAGCUCAAGCCAUCUUCUAAAACAUGGAAAUGUCAUCUUUGUGGCAUAUAUUAAGUGGCAGUUUAUUUUCUUUCCCUGCCAGUAUACUUCGUUGGGUCGGGGAGAACAAAGAAUGGUUUUGAAACCAGAGCUUUCAGUUCCCUUCAUGGUUUCCAGAGGUGAGAAGCCUCUGUGGGUAGUAGAUUUGGGAUGGAACACACACAACCCUUCUAAUGACCCUAAGUUUUUAACUAACUGCCUUUGAAUGGUUGUCUUGAAAUACCUGGUGUAUAUACUGCAGAAAAGGAAUGCAGCUGUUUUCCACAGUGUUUGUCCCCAACUUCUGUUUGUACUCAGAAUCGUUGAACAUAUGAAGAUUUUGGUCCCAUAAUCUUUAAACUAUAGCCUGAGGUGCACCUGAUUACAUAGAGUUUGGAUGGAGCACAGAAAAAUCCAAUAGCAUUUUGCAGAGUAACGUAUAUAAUUAUAGGCUCACUUCCCACUGGAGAUGUUGAAAGUCUAAAUCGGUUUGACCAUUUUGAUUGAUGGCACAAUCUGGUUUAGAAAACUUUGUUUAGAUCAAUGACAUAACCCUGCUGCCUCUGCCUGCCCUUCCCCUCCCUUCUCCCAUCCCCUUUUCCCUAUCUGGUGUCUGUACUUUGAUGAAGGUGAGCUAUAAUAUUGGUGGUUAACAUAAUCCAGAAGGCUUAGUUCUGUGUGUGUUCUGUCCCUAUAUAAACUGGUAAAAAAAAAAAAAAAAAAAAGUUAUGCAGAAUGUUAGAUAUUACAUUUGAUUCGGUGUGUCAGUAUUCAAGGAAAAAUUAAAUAGCAUUUUUUUAAAAAUAGAAUGAACUUCAGAAUUAAAGUUGAUCUUUAACUUCCACAUUAGCAAAUACUCUUCACUACUGAAAGUACUAUUUUGCAUAUUCUGCAUAACUUUAAGAAAGUCUUUAGUGAAAUCUUUAUUGGAAGAAAGUCAUUUGACAAGAGGCAAAAAUUUAAUGAUUUGGUAUGAAGUAAAACCAAUCUUCUGAUUUGUAAAAUACUCUAUUAUAAAGGUUUCACUUCUUUUUGGAUGUUUUAAAAUAGACAUAGACACUUGAAAGUACUAUCAUCACGUCUCAAAUCACCUAGAAUUCCUAUUAUUUUUAAAUUGCAAAUACAAUUUCAAGUUUAUUUAAAUACUCCAGAAGUUAUAAUCCUACUAAUUGUGCUAGACUUUGCUAGUAGAGGGGGCCCCUCUUUCUGGAUGAGAAGUCUCUCUUGCAGCCAUAGAAGAGACCAUGGCUUUCCCCAUAGGUUUUUCAACAGACUGUGAAGCAGUCUGUCGGAUCCUGUGGGGAUAGACGGGCAUUUCCCUCGUUCCCCCCCUUUUUGUUGUGGUGUGGUGAUGGUUUUCAGUGUCUUCUACAGGUAAGGCACUCAUUGUUGUUAACAUGCCCUUUUUCAUUGCCUCAGUAUUUUGAUAUUUUCAUUGGCUGUUAAACGUGGAAACUUUUUAACAUGCUUUGUCGCAUUUAUAUGCUACAGGUUACAAAGUGAGAGCCUUGUAUACACUUCAAUACUUAAAAAGUACCCGUACUCAGUACUCAGCCGGCAGCAUAAUGAAAAGUGGGACUAGACACGGUGUCCAUAUGGAGAGGAAAAAUAUACAUAGAAUAUUUUUAACAAAAUGUAUUCAUUGUAUAAAUGGAAUCCUUCUGUAACUUUGGUAACUGCAUACUUGUUGUUUGGUAAUGAACCAGAGGAGGUAUAAUACUCUAGAAUUGUGUAACAUUAAAGUGUAAACUUUUGUGUUUAAAGAGAGAGAACAUUUUAUGGUGUGUACUUUUAAAAAGGAAACAAAGCUGCAUGCAACAGCUUGAAAUUGUAUAUUCAGGUAUUAAAGGUGCAAUACUGGUUAGAAAAAACUCAGGGCCUCCCACUGGGGAGCUGCCUUUAUUUAAUUUUAAAGAAAACAAAAUCUAACCCAAAAAGUCCAAUUCAUAUUUCCCUCUCCCCUCUUUAAGUAAUUUUACAUGGCCAUAGUCAUUAUUCUAACUGAUAUGUCUAUAAAGUUGCACCCCCAGUCCGUUGAGCCUUGGUAUUUGUUGUAAAUUCUCCUUUCACAGCGAUUGUUAAAUCUAUUCGUGCCCUG